GGUAGAAUGACUGAUAAAAGUGAUAAACUGUAAAUUUAUUUAUGAGAAUUUCUCUUCU
rnacentral:tRNA from 1 species